GUUCCCCCAUUCCCUUCUCUCCCUCCCACCAAAAAGUUUGCGGCGGCUGCGCUGUUCUUCCCAGCAGCGCCGACUGCUGCUUUCGUUGGAAGCCAGAUUCGGUUGCGGGGGAGAUGGAAAGGCGUCCUGCGACGAGGGGCCUCUGCACGCCGCCGCCUUUGCGACCACCAUGACAUCUCAGUCUCACUCUCACACGGUUCCAGCAGCCGGGGCAAGCACAUCGCCAGGAGAAGCUCGCAUGCUGGACCAGGAACUUCUGCUAUUAAUCCACUUAAAAGGAAGAGGGGUGUCUAUGGUAAGAAGAAGAAGAUGAUCCCUGUUACUCCUCAAGAAGAUCUGCUCUUUGCUUCCUCUGCUUCAGAAAGUGACGACGACGAGGACACACCGACAUGAGUUCUGGUUCUGACAUGUGAGCUUGUCGGUUUCUCUAUGAAGUUCGUUUUGGCGCUCAUGAUUCUAUCCUUUCCUGUGUGCUUUUGACAAAUGAAUUGUGAAGACUUUGUGAUGCAUGUAAUGGACUAUGGACAUGUUGCUGUUGUUACUGAACUUAAGUGC